ACGCUGGCGGCGUAGCCUAAUACAUGCAAGUUGAACGCAACAAAGACACCAGAGCUUGCUCUACCGUUUUUGUUGAGUAGCGAACGGGUGAGUAACGCGUGGGUAACCUGCCUUAUAGCGGGGGAUAACUAUUGGAAACGAUAGCUAAUACCGCAUAACAAUAGAGAUUGCAUAAUCUUUAUUUGAAAGUGCCAACUGGUACACUAUGAGAUGGACCCGCGUUGUAUUAGCUAGUUGGUAGUGUAAUGGACUACCAAGGCGAUGAUACAUAGCCGACCUGAGAGGGUGAUCGGCCACAUUGGGACUGAGACACGGCCCAAACUCCUACGGGAGGCAGCAGUAGGGAAUCUUCGGCAAUGGACGAAAGUCUGACCGAGCAACGCCGCGUGAGUGAAGAAGGUUUUCGGAUCGUAAAACUCUGUUGUUAGAGAAGAAUGUUGAUUAGAGUGGAAAAUUAAUCAAGUGACGGUAUCUAACCAGAAAGGGACGGCUAACUACGUG
rnacentral:rRNA from 1 species